GGUACUCCAGUCGUCACUUAAGUCGGACGGAAGGGGGCCCCUGUCCCCGUCGUCCUCUCUUUUGGCCGCUUCGAUGCACCGAUCAAGGGCAGCACAGCUUGGGGAUUCGAAGUCGGGUGAGCGGCAAAUCCAUUCCCUCCUCCUUCCUCUUUUCCAUUGUGAGUUCUCGUGUUUUGAUUCGAUUUACGCGCUCUAUAUAUCGAUCGAUCGAUCGCUCGGUCCCCUGGAUUCUGCUCUCAUCUUCCACCAUUGGUUGAUCUAGGGCUUGAUCUUGCAGCGAAAACUUCCUUCCUUUCGGCGUACUGCUGAUUACUCUCGGUCAGAUGUGAUCUUUUCUGCCUUCUUUUUUUACUGCCCCAGUCUCUGGCAUGAAUUGGAUAAAGAAAAGACGGCCACUUGUUGAAUGGAAUUACGUAGUUUGGACAUCUGAAGAGAUACCUUUAAUCAUUGUUUCUGUGGCUUGCUGUUAGAAAUGAACUGUUAAUGAAGGCCGGCCUGAAGGACAAGGGAUUAUUUAGACUUCAGAAUGCAUACUUUGUAAUGAUGUCUUGUAGAACAUUGUCGCAUAACAUUCCAAUAUAGAUUUUCAAGUGAUAUUUGGUCCCAGUUUCUGUUGUUUUUCAACACUUACAAGAUGCUAGAAUGUUCAUCAAGAGUUAGUGUGGUUCAGCAAGAAAUGUGUUGGAAAGCAUAUGAUGUAGAUAGAAAAAACAUCCUAGUAUUAGCAGCCAGUGUAUAUCAUGUAUGAUUUAAAAGGAACAUGAGUUUGCUUAAGAAUUGUAUUUGAACUUCUGAGUGUACGUGCAAUAGAGUUCAACUUGAGGUGUUUUGAUAAAGGGGAAUAUGCAGAUUUUAUAUCUUUGGUGAUAGAUUUAUA
rnacentral:lncRNA from 1 species